rnacentral:rRNA from 1 species
CGUGCAGAGGCGGGGAUAAAUACAUAAGACGAGAAGACCCUAUGGAGCUUUAGACCUAAAGUAAUUCAUGUUUAAUAUACUAUGAUAACAGUGAAAACUUAGUGAUACUUACUGAAGUGUCUUUGGUUGGGGCGACCGCGGGGUAAAACACAACCCCCAUGUGGACUGGGGAUAUUAUCCCUAAUACUCAGAGCCUCUACUCCAAGUAACAGAAAUUCUGACUUUUCUGAUCCGGUAUAACCGAUCAACGAACCGAGUUAC